rnacentral:rRNA from 1 species
UACGUAGGGACCAAGCGUUGUUCGGAUUUACUGGGCGUAAAGGGCGCGUAGGCGGCAAUUCAAGUCAGUUGUGAAAUCUCCGAGCUUAACUCGGAACGGUCAACUGAUACUGCUUUGCUAGAGUGCAGAAAGGGCAACCGGAAUUCUUGGUGUAGCGGUGAAAUGCGUAGAUAUCAAGAGGAACACCUGAGGCGAAGGCGGGUUGCUAGGCUGACACUGACGCUGAAGCGCGAAAGCUAGGGUAGCAAACGGG